GACGAACGCUGGCGGCGUGCUUAACACAUGCAAGUCGAACGGAAAGGCCCUGCUUGCAGGGUACUCGAGUGGCGAACGGGUGAGUAACACGUGGGUGAUCUGCCCUGCACUUCGGGAUAAGCCUGGGAAACUGGGUCUAAUACCGGAUAGGAGCCAUUUUUAGUGUGAUGGUUGGAAAGUUUUUUCGGUGUAGGAUGAGCUCGCGGCCUAUCAGCUUGUUGGUGGGGUAAUGGCCUACCAAGGCGGCGGCGGGUAGCCGGCCUGUGAGGGUGGACGGCCACAUUGGGACUGAGGUACGGCCCAGACGCCGACGGGAGGCAGCAGGGGGGAAGAUUGCACAAGGGGCGCAAGCCUGAUGCAGCGACGCCGCGGGGGGGAGGACGGCCUUCGGGUUGUAAACCCCUUUCGCUAGGGACGAAGCUUUUUGUGACGGUACCUAGAUAAGAAGCACCGGCUAACUACGUG
rnacentral:rRNA from 1 species